UAAUUAGUUGUAGUUUUCUAUGAUGGUCUAU
rnacentral:piRNA from 1 species